CAGUAGCCACGGUAAUACAGAGGGUGCGAGCGUUAAUCGGAUUUACUGGGCGUAAAGCGUGCGUAGGCGGCUUCUUAAGUCGGAUGUGAAAUCCCUGAGCUUAACUUAGGAAUUGCAUUCGAUACUGGGAAGCUAGAGUAUGGGAGAGGAUGGUAGAAUUCCAGGUGUAGCAGUGAAAUGCGUAGAGAUCUGGAGGAAUACCGAUGGCGAAGGCAGCCAUCUGGCCUAAUACUGACGCUGAGGUACGAAAGCAUGGGGAGCAAACAGGAUUAGAUACCCCCGUAGUCCCUGUCUCUUAUAC
rnacentral:rRNA from 1 species